rnacentral:rRNA from 1 species
CCUACGGGGUGCACCAGUGGGGAAUAUUGCACAAUGGGCGCAAGCCUGAUGCAGCCAUGCCGCGUGUAUGAAGAAGGCCUUCGGGUUGUAAAGUACUUUCAGCGGGGAGGAAGGCGAUGAGGUUAAUAACCUUGUCGAUUGACGUUACCCGCAGAAGAAGCACCGGCUAACUCCGUGCCAGCAGCCGCGGUAAUACGGAGGGUGCAAGCGUUAAUCGGAAUUACUGGGCGUAAAGCGCACGCAGACGGUCUGUCAAGUCGGAUGUGAAAUCCCCGGGCUCAACCUGGGAACUGCAUUCGAAACUGGCAGGCUGGAGUCUUGUAGAGGGGGGUAGAAUUCCAGGUGUAGCGGUGAAAUGCGUAGAGAUCUGGAGGAAUACCGGUGGCGAAGGCGGCCCCCUGGACAAAGACUGACGCUCAGGUGCGAAAGCGUGGGGAGCAAACAGGAUUAGAUACCCCGGUAGUC